CAGCAGCCACGGUAAUACGUAGGGUGCGAGCGUUAAUCGGAAUUACUGGGCGUAAAGCGUGCGCAGGCGGCUUUGCAAGACAGAUGUGAAAUCCCCGGGCUCAACCUGGGAACUGCAUUUGUGACUGCAAGGCUAGAGUACGGUAGAGGGGGAUGGAAUUCCGCGUGUAGCAGUGAAAUGCGUAGAUAUGCGGAGGAACACCAAUGGCGAAGGCAAUCCCCUGGACCUGUACUGACGCUCAUGCACGAAAGCGUGGGGAGCAAACAGGAUUAGAUACCCCAGUAGUCCCUGUCUCUUAUAC
rnacentral:rRNA from 1 species